UGCAUGUCUCAGUGCAAGCCAAAUUAAGGUGAAACCGCAAAUGGCUCAUUAAAUCAGUUAUGGUUCAUUAGAUGAUACAAUAUUUUACUUGGAUAACUGUGGUAAUUCUAGAGCUAAUACAUGCAAACAGAGUUCCCACCGGUAACGGCAGGAACGCUUUUAUUAGAUCAAAACCAAUACGUUUACUUCGGUAGACGAUUUUUUUGGUGACUCUGAAUAACUUUAUGAUGAUCGCAUGGUCCUAGUACCGGCGACAAAUCUUUCAAAUGUCUGCCUUAUCAACUGUCGAUGGUAGGCUCUGCGCCUACCAUGGUCGUAACGGGUGACGGGGAAUCAGGGUUCGAUUCCGGAGAGGGAGCCUGAGAAACGGCUACCACAUCCAAGGAAGGCAGCAGGCGCGCAAAUUACCCACUCCCAGCACGGGGAGGUAGUGACGAAAAAUAACGAUACGGGACUCAUCCGAGGCCCCGUAAUCGGAAUGAGCACACUUUAAAUACUUUAACAAGUAUCCAUUGGAGGGCAAGUCUGGUGCCAGCAGCUGCGGUAAUUCCAGCUCCAAUAGCGUAUAUUAAAGUUGUUGCGGUUAAAAAGCUCGUAGUUGGGAUUGUGUCCCGCACUGUCGGUGCGUCAUUUAUGGUGUUUACUGACAUGCUGUGGGACGUC
rnacentral:rRNA from 1 species